AGACUGCCGGUAAAAGCCGGAGGAAGGUGAGGAUGAUGUCAAGUCAGCAUGACCUUUAUAUCCCAGGGCUACACACACGCUACAAUGGUCUGUACAAUGGGUAAGCCAAGCCGCGAGGCGGAGCCAAUCCUGAAAGCAAGGCCUCAGUUCAGAUUGCAGUCUGCAACUCGACUGCAUGAAGCCGGAGUUGCUAGUAACCGCAGGUCAGCAAUACUGCGGUGAAUACGUUCCCGGGUCUU
rnacentral:rRNA from 1 species